GGGAAACAACCUGCUGGGCUCGCACGCUAGCCGUGGGAGCCGACGGGACCAGGCUGAGGGCAGCAGAGCUGCUCUGCCACGGCCCCCUCGGUAGUGCCAGGGAUGUGGCCGGCCUCCUGCUUUCUGUGGUGAUGGAGGAAGAGCCAUGUGCACCACCCUCCUGGUCAUCAGCACCCUGGCCAUCCUGCUGCGGCGCCACUUCUUCAACAGGGUCGAACCACACCCUGGGGGAGCUGAGGAGCCCAGGCAGGAGGUUGGCUCGGACUCCCUCACAAGGGAAACCAGAAAGUGAGCUCCCAUCCCUGCAGGAGGCUGUCCCCCCACGGCUCUGAUCCAAGGAUCAGGAAAGGAACAGUGCUGAUCGUGUCAUCACCUCCGCUUGUUCGGAAGCAGCCCUUCACUUCACACCAGCCGUGGUACAAGCAGCAGUGGCUGGAAGAUAUUGGCCAAGGCAACUAGCUACACUUCUGACAAACCCCAUGCAACCAAGGGCUCUUAUUGUGGCAGCUGGAGCUGAGGGGAAGAGGUUACCAUGCCUUUAAUAUACAGCAACUACAAGAUGGCCGACAGCCCCAUGGAGGUCACCUCAGCAAUGCCAUCCAAAAGCCAUGAUGCAACCUCAGGGUCUGCGGUAACCAGGAAGUGAUCACAGUUCACCUGGGAGAAAGUCCUGCUCCCAGUGAUCAGGGAUACAUGCCCUGGAGAGGGUUUCCUUUUAUAUAAGUAUGUUAAUAAAAGAUCACUUUGAAGACCAGCUCACUCUAGCCUAUAGCAUUAAAGGCGCAUUUGCUUCUGUUAAA